CACGUGUUCUACUACUCCAA
rnacentral:snRNA from 1 species